rnacentral:rRNA from 1 species
UAAGAGGUCCAGCCUGCCCAGUGACAUUUUAAACGGCCGCGGUACCCUGACCGUGCGAAGGUAGCAUAAUCACUUGUUCUUUAAAUGGGGACUAGUAUCAACGGCAUCACGAGGAUUUUACUGUCUCCUUUCUCCUAUCGAUGAAACUGAUCUUCCCGUGAAGAAGCGGGAAUAAAACUAUAAGACGAGAAGACCCCAUGGAGCUUUAAACCCAGUGACAUCUCAAACCCUCCACCCCCCAAAAGUUUUUAUGCAUUGUCCACUGGUUUUAGGUUGGGGUGACCGCGGAGUAUAACUUAACCUCCACAGCGUACGGAGCUUUCUCCUUAUCCAAGAGCCACAUCUCAAAGAAUUAAUAUAUUGACGUAGAUGACCCAAUAAUUUUGAUCAAUGAACCAAGUUACCCUGGGGAUAACAGCGCAAUCCAUUUCUAGAGCCCCUAUCGACAAAUGGGUUUACGACCUCGAUGUUGGAUCAGGGUAUCCCAGUGGUGCAGCCGCUACUAAUGGUUUGUUUGUUCAACAAUUAAA